rnacentral:rRNA from 1 species
CCUACGGGUGGCAGCAGUGGGGAAUAUUGCGCAAUGGGCGAAAGCCUGACGCAGCGACGCCGCGUGAGGGAUGAAGGUCUUCGGAUCGUAAACCUCUGUCAGCAGGGAAGAACGGUCACUGUGCUAAUCAGCAGUGAAUUGACGGUACCUGCAAAGGAAGCACCGGCUAACUCCGUGACAGCAGCCGCGGUAAUACGGAGGGUGCGAGCGUUAAUCGGAAUUACUGGGCGUAAAGCGCUCGUAGGCGGUAUGUCAAGUCAAGGGUGAAAUGCCCGCGCGCAACGUGGGAACUGCCUUUGAAACUGGCAAACUGGAGUGUGUGAGAGGAUAGUGGAAUUGCAGGUGUAGGAGUGAAAUCCGUAGAUAUCUGGAGGAACAUCAGUGGCGAAGGCGACUAUCUGGCACAUAACUGACGCUGAGGAGCGAAAGCGUGGGUAGCAAACAGGAUUAGAUACCCGGGUAGUC